GUAUCAUAUUUUGCAUUCAUCAGGAGCCUAAGGCUGCCAGUGACCAAGACCUAGAAUAUGGGAAUGAAGGAAGCCAACCUUCAGGAGCCAGAAUACAGAGAUGAGACCUGGUGGUCAUUUGUUUCUAAAUAAAACUGUACCUGAAGAUAUCAUUCCCCAAAGACCCUGCAAUUAUAUGAGACAACGGUUACAUUUUUUGUUUAUGGCAAUUUAAGUUGAAUUUUCCAGUGUUUGUCUGAUGAUGACAACCGCCUUUAAGUUUUGUUUAUCUAAUAUUGGAGUGAACGAAGACAGGACUCUAAUCUGAUUGUGGGUCAUAAGACCCUCAUUCUAGAGAAGAUCCUGCCCCAUACCCUGGAGGAAGGAAUGCUGCACAGAAAGGAGUGAAGAAUCUGAACAGUUUGGCCUUUGCUGAGUUUAAAUCAUACCCUUUUUGUCCAGUCACACUGUGACAUGGUUGUCCGUGAUGCAAUCAUGCCUAUCCAAUGAAGUCUCCAUAUAAGGCCUGAGAGGACGGGAUUCAGGGGCUUCCAGAGAGCUAAACAUGGGGAGACCUAUAGGAAGAUGAACAAGAACUCAUCCAUAUGUAAGA